rnacentral:rRNA from 1 species
UACAGAGGUCUCAAGCGUUGUUCGGAUUCAUUGGGCGUAAAGGGUGCGUAGGCGGCGCGGUAAGUGGGGUGUGAAAUCUCGGGGCUUAACUCCGAAACUGCAUUCCAUACUGCGGUGCUUGAGGACUGGAGAGGAGACUGGAAUUCAUGGUGUAGCAGUGAAAUGCGUAGAGAUCAUGAGGAAGACCAGUGGCGAAGGCGGGUCUCUGGACAGUUCCUGACACUGAGGCACGAAGGCCAGGGGAGCAAACGGG